rnacentral:rRNA from 1 species
UACGUAGGGGGCAAGCGUUGUCCGGAAUCAUUGGGCGUAAAGAGCUCGUAGGCGGUCUGUCGCGUCGGCUGUGAAAACCCGGAGCUCAACUCCGGGCCUGCAGUCGAUACGGGCAGACUGGAGUUCGGCAGGGGAGACUGGAAUUCCUGGUGUAGCGGUGAAAUGCGCAGAUAUCAGGAGGAACACCGGUGGCGAAGGCGGGUCUCUGGGCCGAUACUGACGCUGAGGAGCGAAAGCGUGGGGAGCGAACAGG